rnacentral:rRNA from 1 species
UACGUAGGGGGCAAGCGUUGUCCGGAAUCAUUGGGCGUAAAGAGCGUGUAGGCGGUCCGGUAAGUCGGCUGUGAAAGUCCAGGGCUCAACCCUGGGAUGCCGGUCGAUACUGCCGGACUAGAGUUCGGAAGAGGCGAGUGGAAUUCCCGGUGUAGCGGUGAAAUGCGUAGAUAUCUGGAGGAACACCGGUGGCGAAGGCGGCAUCCUGGACCGGCAUUGACGCUGAGGCGCGAAAGCUAGGGGAGCAAACGGGAUUAGAAACCCUUGUAGU